UAGGAAACGAAGCGACCAAGACGACGCCAGCGACGUCUGGUGUUUCAGUUGUAAACAAAAUUGGUUGUUUUUGACGUUUUUGUCAAAAAAGGUUAGAAUCACAUUUCUGAAGUCUAAACAUCUUUUGGGUUAAAAAUCUUUGUUUGUAAACGUGCUGUGUAUCUCUAGUCUUUGGGUGCUGUCUUGUGGCAUAUUACAAAGACGUUAUAGUAUUGUUGUGGUUAUUAAGCUCACGUAUUAUCGAACUGUUCAUCAAAGAUUAAUAUUAAUUUGCUGUUCUUGUCAAGAUGAGUCGUGGUUCAUAUUGUUUGGUAUUAAACUGUCCGAACAAUAAAAAUAAAAACCCAAAGCUCGCGUUUUUUACAUUACCGAAGGACAUGAAAAUUGCCAAAAGAUGGAUCGAAUUCUCUGGACGCAAAGAUCUUGACCUGGGUGCUUCGAAAGACUAUAGAAUGUGUAGUGAGCAUUUUACAGAAAACCAGUUCAAAUUCACGGACAUUGCUUUGGCGUGGAAGUAUUCCUCAUGUGAAUGGACCUAAAUCAGAUGUUCUUCCUGAAUCAGAGUCUGAGAUGAUCAUCCAUGAAGAAACUGUUCAAACGGAUCAAAACGUACCUCUAUCUAAUAUUGAAAGAUUCUGCUUUUGCUGUCAACUCAAAUGAAAAUUUUUCAAAAGAGGACACAUGAAUGCAAAUCAUAUUUAUGUUACACUGGAAUCAGAAGGUUUUAUAGAAGCAACUAGUAGUUCGGCUAACCCCAAACGUAGUGGUAGUAAGCAGAGCCCCUUAACCAACCAGAGAAUUAAAAGAAUGAAGGCUAAAAUCAAUACAAAAAAUUAAAAACUCCGAAAUCUCUGCAAUGAAUAAUGAUUCACAUUUAAGAUAUUUAAUUACUUAUUUUUAUGUAUAUAUUCUUCUGUACAUUUUAUUAUGUUUAUUUAAUUGAAUUAAAAAUUCCACUAAUUUGACAAUGCAUUUUUAUUUAAAUAAUCUCUUAAUAUGUUAAUAUUAUAAUAUGGUAUAAAAAAUAGAAGCUACUAGUGAAUGUGGAAUACUGUGAAGAUUUGAAAUUCGCGCCAGAUAUAGAUUUCCUUUUCGUUAGAUGAUUUCAGCGCCAUCUGUUGUUUCAGUUGUAAACGGCGAACCUAAAAGUGGGUCGCUAUUUAGCACUAGAGUUAGUACAGCGUUUC